GAAGGAGGGAGGGAGACCAGAGGAAGGAGGUGGCUUCUCCUUCACCCGCGUCCUCAGGUCCCCCUGUACACCACGUGGGUGGGAGCGUGUCUUACACAUCCACGCGCCCACAGCCACCUUCACCGCGCUCCUGCCUGGACCGGGUCCAUCUCCGCGCCUGUGGGCGCCAGGCCUCCACGGGCCACGUCGCCGCCACCUGCUGCUGCAUCCCCAGUGAGAGGGAAGGAGCAUCUCCGUGCUUCCCCUCAUCCGCCUCCACCCAGCCCAAGCCCUCUCAUCCUCCGGGGUUAGCCUGGGGAGGAAGAUAAAGACAUUUGCAACCAAGAUGGUAAUCACGAGUGGAAAUGACGAAGACAGAGGAGGCCAAGAAAAAGAGAGCAAAGAGGAGAGUGUCUUGGCGAUGCUGGGCAUCAUCGGGACCAUCCUGAACCUAAUCGUGAUCAUAUUUGUGUACAUAUACACCACUCUGUGAACGGCCCAGCGGGUCCGCAGAGGCCUCGGGAUGGCCAAGACGGGAGUCCUGUGUGUCGACAGAUCGGUAAGCAGACACUGUGUGAACAAGCGAGCUUGACCUACCCACGCUGCUCGAUCAAAGGCACCUUUGAACUUUAUCAAAGGUCACAAAAAUCAACCGAUCCUGCUACAAGGAGCCGACACUAAAGCACAAUGAACCCAACAGAACUCAUCCACGCAACGAGGAGCUCAGCGUCUUCGGCAGAGGGCCCGAGAGAACGCUCGGAAGACCAGCCUUGGCUGCCGUCGGAGAGCGCAUGGGUGCAGACGUUCAAGAUGCCUGGUCGCUGACGACAUCACGUAUUCAAAGAGAGGAACAGGGCAGACUCCGCUCGUCGGUGUGUCUCCCAGGACGCGCGUUUCAUCUUGACUCGAUGAGCUGUCCAGGACGAGAAACCGCAGGGGCAGUCCUUUGACAGACAUCCCAUUCAUCAAAAGUGUCUAACUAUUUGAUACCGGGGAGAUAACUUAUUUUUCUUUUUUCAUUGGCUUGACAUGUGUAUCUGUUCAUAUCAAGGUUUAUAAAUAUAUAUUUUUAAUAAAUGUGCUCUAUUUUUUAGCAUGAACCAAAUAUUUGGAGAGGCGCUCCCAGAUACAUAGAGCUUCCUUGCUUUCACUGCUCUGCCCUCUAGACUGCCGAUGUUCUGUUGUGUCGUCAUUCUAAUCCUGUUUCUCUCAUCUUUAGCCUUUGGCCUUCUCUCCCCCUCUCUUUGGUCUGGAGGACAUUUUUCCAUAAUACCAGCCAUGCUCUUGGUUGGUGCAUGUUUUAAGAUUGUCCGUCGAGCGGCUUUUUGUUGUAAUAUCGGAGAUAUAAAACGAUCGUGGGCAUGUGGACCUUAGAUGCACCGUACCCUUACUGAGAUUUAUGCAUGAACAAGGUCUGAGUGACAGAUCAGCUUUAAAAUAAUCUAAAAAGGACUGUCAUUGAGGAGGAGCGCAGCUAAGUUUGCAGAUCCGCUACGGGAUGGAAUAUUCCACUUCUUCUCCGCAGCAUAUUACUUCAUUCUUGUGACCAUUUGGCGAUCAGAUUUUGAUUUUAAUGGCCUUGUAUGGGGGGGAAGCUCAGCGUUAGAUGCAUAAUUCCUUCCUGAGCGAGCCGCCUGGGCUCCCUGGGGGGGUGUAAAUGACACGGACUCCCCACUGUUUGAGCUCACCUGGGCGUUUCAAGCUGCAAGGACACCCCCAUGACGGGUGACUUUUCAGGGGCACUGGAAGGGGACGGGGUGAUGGCCCUAAGGGAUCGCUGCACUUCCUAAAGUUCCUGGUUUACACCCACAUGCAGCUGCUUCCUCCCGGGCUGGGAUGGUGGAAUAAAUCUGAGUUUGCCCUGUUCUCCUGGCUUCCGGAGACAGGCCUUUGCUGGCUGCAGCGGCAAGGCCUUAAAAAGAGGGUCAGAAUUCCUUCUGCCAGCACCAGCCUUGCCCGUGGGCAACAGAAGCAGUGACCUGCCUGGUUGGAUUCGAAUGAUGUCCAGGAGGUCUCUGCCCCUUGAUCUCUCCCUCCUCAUGUUGUGGUGUCUGAAAUUUCACCAUUAGAGAGUCAUUUCAUGGGCUCUUCUAUGGUUUCCAGCCUCUUUUAUAAAGCAAAUGCCCCUGAGCACCUGGCUCUGACAUUGAUUCAUCAGAUGUGUUCUCUUCCCCACCCAAAGGAAGGAGGUUGGUGUCCAUUUAGGGCAUCCUGUGUGCCAGGCGCUGUGCCACACACUGUAUUCCUAAAGUCAUUAAAUUCUUGCAGUAACCUUGUGGGAUAGGGAUUCUGUUCCCCACGUUGUAGAAGAAGAAAGUAGGACUCAGCGAGAUCAGGAAUCUUCCCUGGGAUCACGUGGUGAGUCGGGACUCUAACCCCUCAUCUGCCUGAUUUCCUCGCCCAUUGAGGGCCUGGAGGCUGCUGGGAAGAGAAGGGGUGACUUCACAGGAAACGGUCCUGGGGGUCAGGACAGAAACCCAAUGGCUUUGCUGAGGGCCAGCUCAGUAUCCCUCCCUCUGCACCCCCAUAAUAAUAAGCACCCCCUGGGAACUCCUUGACCGCUGGCAGAAUAGCAUACAGAUAAGGACCAGGGACGAGAGGAGGCGGUUAGAGAGAAAAUGGAAUGUCGGGGGAGGCAGCUGUCUCACAGGCUCUGUGUGGUUCUAGAAAGACUGUAUGAAAAUUCUGAACAGUAAACAGAGUAAACAAUAAAGGUGCAAUGAAAAACAC
ensembl:lncRNA